GAUGAACGCUGGCGGCGUGCCUAAUACAUGCAAGUCGAGCGAGCAGACGAGGAGCUUGCUCCUCUGACGUUAGCGGCGGACGGGUGAGUAACACGUGGAUAACCUACCUAUAAGACUGGGAUAACUUCGGGAAACCGGAGCUAAUACCGGAUAAUAUAUUGAACCGCAUGGUUCAAUAGUGAAAGACGGUUUUGCUGUCACUUAUAGAUGGAUCCGCGCCGCAUUAGCUAGUUGGUAAGGUAACGGCUUACCAAGGCAACGAUGCGUAGCCGACCUGAGAGGGUGAUCGGCCACACUGGAACUGAGACACGGUCCAGACUCCUACGGGAGGCAGCAGUAGGGAAUCUUCCGCAAUGGGCGAAAGCCUGACGGAGCAACGCCGCGUGAGUGAUGAAGGUCUUCGGAUCGUAAAACUCUGUUAUUAGGGAAGAACAAAUGUGUAAGUAACUAUGCACGUCUUGACGGUACCUAAUCAGAAAGCCACGGCCAACUACGUG
rnacentral:rRNA from 1 species